rnacentral:rRNA from 1 species
AAUCAACGCUGGCGGCGUGCCUCAGACAUGCAAGUCGAACGCGAAAGGUUCCUUCGGGAACCGAGUAGAGUGGCGCACGGGUGAGUAACACGUAGGUAAUUUGCCUUUGGGUGGGGAAUAACAGGCCGGAAACGGCUGCUAAUACCGCAUAAUGCAGCGGCUCGACAUCGAGACAGUUGUUAAAGCGGGGGAUCGCAAGACCUCGCGCCUAAAGAGAAGCCUGCGGCAGAUAGCUAGUUGGUAGGGUAAUGGCCUACCAAGGCGACGAUCUGUAAACCGGCCU